GACGAACGCUGGCGGCGUGCUUAACACAUGCAAGUCGAACGGAAAGGCCCUGCUUUUGUGGGGUGCUCGAGUGGCGAACGGGUGAGUAACACGUGAGUAACCUGCCCUUGACUUUGGGAUAACUUCAGGAAACUGGGGCUAAUACCGGAUAGGAGCUCCUGCUGCAUGGUGGGGGUUGGAAAGUUUCGGCGGUUGGGGAUGUACUCGCGGCUUAUCAGCUUGUUGGUGGGGUAGUGGCUUACCAAGGCUUUGACGGGUAGCCGGCCUGAGAGGGUGACCGGCCACAGUGGGAUUGAGAUAGGGCCCAGACUCAUACGGGAGGCAGCAGUGGGGAAUAUUGCAAAAUGGGCGGAAGCCUGAUGCAGCAACGCCGCGUGCGGGAUGACGGCUUUCGGGUUGUAAACCGCUUUCGCCUGUGACGAAGCGUGAGUGACGGUAAUGGGUAAAGAAGCACCGGCUAACUACGU
rnacentral:rRNA from 1 species